rnacentral:rRNA from 1 species
GAGGGAGAUCCCCCACACUGGUACUGAGACACGGACCAGAACUCCUACGGGGAGGCAGCAGUGAGGAAUAUUGGUCAAUGGAGGCAACUCUGAACCAGCCAUGCCGCGUGCAGGAUGACGGUCCUAUGGAUUGUAAACUGCUUUUGUACGGGAAGAAAUGUAAUUACGUGUAAUUAUUUGACGGUACCGUAAGAAUAAGGAUCGGCUAACUCCGUGCCAGCAGCCGCGGUAAUACGGAGGAUCCGAGCGUUAUCCGGAAUUAUUGGGUUUAAAGGGUUCGUAGGCGGUUGAGUAAGUCAGUGGUGAAAUCUUAUAGCUUAACUAUAAAAUUGCCGUUGAUACUGCUUGACUUGAAUAGUAUGGAAGUAAUUAGAAUAUGUAGUGUAGCGGUGAAAUGCUUAGAUAUUACAUGGAAUACCAAUUGCGAAGGCAGAUUACUACGUACUUAUUGACGCUGAUGAACG